GUGAAUCAUCAAAUUUUUGAACGCAAAUUGCACUCUCUUCGGAGAGUAUGCCUGUUUGAGUGUCAGCCUAAAAAAAAAUCGUCAUAGUCGCUGUUUUGCUUUGACAUUCGUCGGAAAUUGGGUCAUCUUAAACAUUUUGGUUUUAAGCGGCUUAAAAUUUUCUUUUCGAUUCCACGAACGUUUCUAAGAUUUACUUCUUAUUCGGUUAAGAUAUGUAUCUUUAUUAGACGUGGCAGUUG
rnacentral:misc_RNA from 1 species